rnacentral:tRNA from 1 species
AAGGAUUUAAGUUAACCAAACUCGUAGCCUUCAAAGCUGAAAAUAAAGAUCAAGCUUUAAGCCUUA